AUUGAACGCUGGCGGCAGGCCUAACACAUGCAAGUCGAACGAGUGGCGGACGGGUGAGUAAUUUCUGGGAAACUGCCUGAUGUAGGGGUAUGACUACUGUAACCGGUAGCUAAUACCGCUUCCCAUCGUAUGUGCUCAGGUGGGAUUAGGUAGUUGGUGGGGUAAAGGCUCACCUAGGCGACGAUGCCUAGCUGGUCUGAGAGGAUGACCAGCCACACGGGAACUGAGAAACGGUCCAGACUCCUACGGGAGGCAGCAGUGGGGAAUAUUGCACAAUGGGCGAAAGCCUGAUGCAGCAAUGCCGCGUGUAUGAAGAAGGCCUUCGGGUUGUAAAGUACUGUCAUCGGGGAGGCGUUACCCGCAGAAGAAGCACCGGCUAACUCCGUGCCAGCAGCCGCGGUAAUUC
rnacentral:rRNA from 1 species